UGUGAGCGCUCCAUUGGCCAAUCAGAAGCUUGAUGCCAACUGGCCGUGUAUGUUUCAGGGUGGCGCUGGGUAGUUCAUUUCGUCAGAGGGGAAUACAGUGUUGUUAUUCAAGAUGCAGUUCAUGCUUCUGUUUAGUCGACAAGGCAAGCUCAGGCUUCAGAAAUGGUACGUGCCUUUGUCUGAUAAGGAGAAAAAGAAGAUCACAAGAGAGUUGGUGCAGACGGUCCUGGCUCGAAAGCCCAAAAUGUGCAGCUUUCUGGAGUGGAGAGACCUCAAGGUUGUAUAUAAGAGAUACGCCAGCCUGUACUUCUGCUGUGCCAUAGAGGACCAGGACAACGAGCUGAUCACACUGGAGAUCAUCCACAGAUAUGUGGAGCUGCUGGACAAAUACUUUGGCAGUGUUUGUGAGCUGGACAUUAUUUUCAACUUUGAGAAGGCUUACUUCAUUCUGGAUGAGUUCUUGCUGGGUGGGGAAGCUCAGGAGACGUCCAAAAAGAAUGUGUUGAAGGCCAUUGAGCAGGCUGACCUGCUACAGGAGAGCCAGAAUGAAGACUGGGGAAGUUUGCCAAAUGAGGAGCUCUUGUAAUGGGCCUAGAGUCCAUCCAUGCCUCCAUCCAGGCAAUUUGGUAACUACUAGACUGGUGCAGUCAGUCAGUCAGCAUGGGUUUCCAGUUGUGCGUGCCGUGAACUACCUCUGCAUGUUCUUCUGUCGGUAUUGACUGUGUCUCAUAACUCUGAGUGAAAAACAUGACACAGCGUAACAACAGGCAUGAACUCAAACUGGAAUGUUCAGAACAUGUCUGGAUACACGCAGUUUCACUAACAGGCGGCAUAAUCUAACACUUGCAUUGUACAUUAUUGUAGUAGAUUAUUUAUUUGAAUUUCCAUUUACAUGGAUGCAACUUCGUUUUGUUUUUAAGAAGUCACUCUUUUAAAAAUACAUUUCCAACUUUAAUUAUUACUAUUUUCAUGGAUAAGUGAAAGAGUUAUGCUGCCUGUGUGAAGACCAGCCUGUAGUUUUACUAACCGCACCGAAUGGAAAUGCUCAGAUGAAUGAUUCUGUAUGUCUUUAUUAUAAAUGGUAGAAAAGGAAUAACAAUAACCCUAACAUUACGUUACAUGUGGAAGUAUUUUACAUUGACUAAUAUUCAUUCCGCAGGUUUUUGUACGUGGUGUUAUUUGACUUUAAAAUGACCAUUUUGUCCAUCCAUUACACAAACAUCUUAUACACCACUUGUUGAAAAAUUUGACCAAACAUUAGGGAAUUCUGCAACUCACCAUUGCACCCUGGUGUUUUAAAAGUUCAAAUAAUUAAACAUACUAUACGAGCAAAAAAACAAACAAAAAAAACACCCUGAUUUUUAUAAUUGGAGACAAGGAUAAUUGUCAUCCUUAAAGAAAAUCUAAACAUAAUGCACAUAGAAGUUUGUGAAAAUAAUGCUGGGGUUGAGUCGGGGCACAUUUGGAAUGAGUGCCUCUGGCUUUAGUAAGUGCAUAGUGCAGUAAUUACAUGGAAAACGUACCACAGGGGAUUUGGUGGAAGUUAUUUUAAUAAGCCUUUAAUGAAACAUUUCUCAGGAACGGGUCAUUACUUUGGUGCAAGCAAGCAAGCAUAUCUUCUUUUGGAAUAAUGAAGCCUCAGAAGAUUUCCUGCUCAGCUCAACUCUGCAUGUUAAACUUCAGAGAUAAAUUGAGCCGCGACGUCCUCAUGAAGAGGGCAUUGUUAUAGUGGCGGUGCCCGAACACGUACUGUAGAUGUGUAGAUGCUGUAGCUUUCCUGAGAGAUUGACCAGUGGUGCCAUGUUCUGUUUAUUUGUGUCCUUAUAAAAACAAUCUUUGCCUCACAGGUGUGAUGGUCCCAAAUAUGGUCUCUGAGUCUUCUGGUCUUUUCCAGAAUUAGGCCUGCUGAGCCCCGUCAUGAGUACUUUAAUGUGCC